UACGAGGGAGGGCUAGCGUUGUUCGGAAUUACUGGGCGUAAAGCGCACGUAGGCGGACAUUUAAGUCAGGGGUGAAAUCCCAGAGCUCAACUCUGGAACUGCCUUUGAUACAGCACGUCUCGAGUCCGGAAGAGGUGGGUGGAAUUCCUAGUGUAGAGGUGAAAUUCGUAGAUAUUAGGAAGAACACCGGUGGCGAAGGCGGCUCUCGUGGGACGGUACCGACGCUGAGACGCGAAAGCGUGGGGAGCGAACAGG
rnacentral:rRNA from 1 species